rnacentral:rRNA from 1 species
GAUGAACGCUGGCGGCGUGCUUAACACAUGCAAGCCGAACGGAAAGGCCUCAGCUUGCUGGGGUACUCGAGUGGCGAACGGGUGAGUAACACGUGGGUGAUCUGCCCUGCACUUUGGGAUAAGCUUGGGAAACUGGGUCUAAUACCGAAUAUAACCACUUCUUGGAUGUUGUGGUGGAAAGCUUUUGCGGUGUGGGAUGAGCCUGCGGCCUAUCAGCUUGUUGGUGGGGUAAUGGCCUACCAAGGCGGCGACGGGUAUCCGGCCUGAGAGGGUGUACGGACACAUUGGGACCGAGAUACGGCCCAGACUCCCACGGGAGGCAGCAGUGGGGAAUAUUGCACAAUGGGCGCAAGCCUGAUGCAGCGACGCCGCGUGGGGGAUGAAGGCCUUCGGGUUGUAAACUCCUUUCGCUAUCGACGAAGCCACUUGUGGUGACGGUAGGUAGAUAAGAAGCACCGGCUAACUACGUGCCAGCAGCCGCCGUAA